AUAAAGAGAUUUAGGUGUUCACCAAAUAACAGAGAAGUGUUUAGAAGCGAGACAGGACAUUAACAAAGGUUCUGAGAGUAAAGAUUGGGCUGCUUGGGUCCUUAUGGCAGACAGAUCAGAAAGAGGAAGAGCUUUGAAUCACAGCUAACUGCGUCACAUCGUUUAUGUGAAAUUCCAGUGAAACCAGAGAAUGUCUAAUAUGAGACGGGCUCUGGCGAAACUAAAGUAAUGGCGCGUUCACACCAAAAGCGAAGGGGCGGCGCAACUUCCAUACAAAGUCAACGUAUAGACGCGUUCCAGGCGACGGGCGCGUUCGACUCCAUACAAAGUCAACGUAUAGUAAUGCUGUAGCCUACUUUAUAUCGUCUGUGGGGAAAUCCUGGGACUCUCAGAGUAUCAAACUACAACUGGAAAAAAAGAGAAGCUUAGGAAACACUUUUAUUUUGAAAACUUCUGAGUUAAGGGACAUAAAAGACAACAACCCCAAAAACACGCUGUCGGAAACACCUCGGAUCAAACCAGGGACAGGACAGACCCGGAAGAGGGAAGACAUGCAGUAAAGGACCACCUGUCUGAAUCAGGCAGCCUCCGGCUGUACGUGACCUCAUCAGCCCAGAGUGAAGGGACGUACAGGUGUACUCUCAGGUACGCAGACGAAGAAGACGUAACCCACAUUGAACCGAAGAUAUCUGAAGACCCUAUUGAAGGCCAAAGAAGGACAAGGAAGGAGCUCAAACAACCAAAGUACUGAACCCUCUCAGGAAGUCGUUCCUCUGUCUGAGAUAACGGGUUCAACCUCCUGACCUUAUUACCGUACCAUCAGACACAGCAGGGUAAGACUGUGGUUGCAGGAGCCAGGAUCUUUACGUUGUA